UAUCUUGAUACAAUUAGAGGCACGUAGCUUUCCGAAUUAAAGCAAAAGAUUAAAAUGUACAGUACCGUGCAAAAGUAUACGAACACCCCCCCCCCCGUUUUCAGUCAAUGGGUUGAAAAUAAAUGAUUCUUCGAGCGCAAGGAGAGGGCAUGUCUGGAGCCAGCAGCCGCGGGAAUUCCAGCUCACCUAGCGUAGCUCGAUAUUGCUGCAGAUAAAAAGCUCGAAGCUGGAUCUAGGUUACGUGAUGCAGCUCGCCCUCGGGCGGCACUGUAACCGUGACAUCAACUUUGCUGGUUUGAUGAUGGUUUCACCCUUCAACUGCCUUUUGGGGGGCCUGGAAGAAAUAACACUGGCAAAACAGGCUUUUGAUUGUCUAACUCAUCCAAUGAAUAAUAA
rnacentral:ncRNA from 1 species